CGAACGCUGGCGGCAUGCCUAACACAUGCACGUCGAACGAGACCUUCGGGUCUAGUGGCGCACGGGUGCGUAACGCGUGGGAAUCUACCCUCAGGUUCGGAAUAACUCAGAGAAAUUUGAGCUAAUACCGGAUGAUGACGUAAGUCCAAAGAUUUAUCGCCUGAGGAUGAGCCCGCUUAGGAUUAGGUAGUUGGUGAGGUAAAGGCUCACCAAGCCGACGAUCCUUAGCUGGUCUGAGAGGAUGAUCAGCCACACUGGGACUGAGACACGGCCCAGACUCCUACGGGAGGCAGCAGUGGGGAAUAUUGGACAAUGGGCGAAAGCCUGAUCCAGCAAUGCCGCGUGAGUGAUGAAGGCCUUAGGGUUGUAAAGCUCUUUUACCCGGGAUGAUAAUGACAGUACCGGGAGAAUAAGCUCCGGCUAACUCCGUG
rnacentral:rRNA from 1 species